CGGGAGGAGAGAGGGCGGAGCCGGAGCGACAAGACGUCGUCGCGGGGCGCGCGUGCGUGCGCGCCCUCCCCCUGCGCGCGCCGUUGGGGCUUUGCUGGACAUGCGGGAGGGAGCCGUCGGUUGCUCGCCUCGCGCCGGAAUGAAUUUUGUUCUGGGCGGCAGUAUCAAGGCACUGUGUGCGCAUGUGCAUUCAGAGUGAGGCCUUCUGGAUUCAACCUGAGCGGGAUCUAAAAUUAACCGAGCGGACAUCCCAAAACCCGUGAGCGUUCGCACAUGCGCAUGCCUGAGAGGGAACACUGCUAGCAACCAUGCCAUGGGAACCAAGGAUGCACCUAGAAUCCAUAUUUAAUUUCUUCUGGUUCGGAUAGGGAGCUGUUUUUCACCAGCGAAAAAGAAUGUGGGUGUUGCUGACAGAUAAAGACUGGUUUCUCAUAGGGUGGAAACAAAAAGAUUUCCAGUUUCACGUCUUGGGGAAGGGUGAGGCCCAGCUGCGCCUCUGCUAUCUGAGAGAGAGAUCUACCAGGAAUGAAGUUUUGCUGUCCUGGAUUAUGGUUCUUAAGAGUGACCAGGGAGACAAAUUACUCCUGUGCAUGGUCUUAUGGAUGGAUUCAGAUGCAAAAGGAGCAUCGAGGUUUCCCUGCCAGUAGCUUGUUCCGAGUAGAUGCCACUGGAAAUAAGGGUCAAAGGCUACAAAAUAAAAUUUAAAAAAGAAUUAGUUGGUGAGCCAUUUGAGCCCAAGUGUUGUGCUGAUGGCUUCACUGAAAUGGAGGAGGGAUUUAAGGACAUAAGAGAAGUGGCAUUGUGGUGACAUUCUGUGAGGUGGUUCCAGGCAUAAAGGGCAGCAAGGGCGAAAGGGGAGAGGCAUCUGUGGGGACGGGAGAGCUAAUGGGAGGUGGUUCUAAGCAUAUGGGGCAGUAAGGGAGAAAGGGGAGAGACCUUUAAGGGGACAGGAAAUGGAGAUCCGGGAGGUGGUUCCAGGCAUAUGGGGCAACAAGGGAGAAAUCAUUUGAAGAAGCAGAAGACCUUCACGCAGCUGAGACUGGUGGAGCUGGAUGAUCAAAGGACACGGGCACAGAUGUAUCGGGCUCGAAGAGUGAGGAGGAAAAGAGGAGCGAGGCCCGGAAGGUGCGAUACGAACCCGAUGUAUGAAUGGCAUCCUUGUGUAUGAAGUGGAUCUCUGAGAUCAUAGCAGGGCAUAUGGAACGGAGCAGCGUCCCCGAGCGAAGCAAUUACAGAGAACUGAUUUAUUAUAUUGCCAGAGCUGUACCUGCACUGUCUGAUAAUUGCAUUAUAAUGACCGUC